rnacentral:rRNA from 1 species
AACGAACGCUGGCGGCAUGCCUAACACAUGCAAGUCGAACGAGACCUUCGGGUCUAGUGGCGCACGGGUGCGUAACGCGUGGGAACCUGCCCUUAGGUUCGGAAUAACUCCCCGAAAGGGGUGCUAAUACCGGAUAAUGUCUUCGGACCAAAGAUUUAUCGCCUUUGGAUGGGCCCGCGUUGGAUUAGCUAGUUGGUAGGGUAAAAGCCUACCAAGGCGACGAUCCAUAGCUGGUCUGAGAGGAUGAUCAGCCACACUGGAACUGAGACACGGCCCAGACUCAGAGGGGAGGCAGCAGUAGGGAACAUUCGGCAAUGGGCGAACGCCGGAUGGAGCAAUGCAGCGGGAGGGAAGAAGGUCUUCGGAUCGUAAAAAUCUGUGAUUAGGGAAGAAAAAAUGGGUAAGUAACUAUGCACGGCUUGAAGGUACCUAAUCAGAAAGACACGGCUAACUACGUG